UUCCAAUUCCACUCCUCACUCCCGCCACAAUCUUCGCCGCUCUUAAGUUUAAUCCUCAAAAAAUCACCUCUCGUUUAUCAUAGCCGCCGGUCGGAGGAAUAUUUCGCUGAAUUUAUAAUUGCUAUAGGUAUUAGGUGCCUGGGGAUUGGGUUGGGAAAUUUGGAUGGAUGGAAUGGAGAUUACUCAGUUCACUUACUUCCACCAGGCUGGAAGUCUUCCAUUGAUGCCUGUUUCAGUUGAAAUUACCUAUGAUCUUGAGCGAAUCAUUAUGUUGCUUCAGGGAGUUGAUCACUUCAAGAAAAUUUGAUAUGCUGAUGGAAUAACAUACGGGGAGCUUUUUCUGAAAAAAUGAGAAGGAGAUGAGUGCUUAUUAUCUAGAGCAUGCCAGUGUAGAUCACAUUCAUAGUCAUUUUGAUCAAUUCGAGGCUGAAGCUCGCCGCUUGCUUGACUUGGGCGUUGCGAUUCCUGCGUAUACUGUAUGAUCAGCUUUUGAAGACAUCUCAUGCUUUCAAUGUCUUGGACUCUAGAGGAUUUGUGGGGGUAACAGAACGUGCUCGUUAUUUUGGGCGUAUGCGAAGUCUCAGCAUUACUACGAAGCUGCUUCGUGAAAAGGAAGCAAUCAGAAGGAUCUGCUCUGUCAAUCUGGUGGUCAAUAAAUCUAUAGGACCUCUACACACCACACUACUUGCUUUGCAGACACUUAGACUGCUGCUUUUCCCUAGACAACCACUAACAGCUUUCUUGGACAUUUGUCGCACUCCUAAAGAUUAUUAGCUCUCUCUUUCUUUGUGAAUCAGUGUGUAAUUGGGCCUUUGGUUGUAUUCUUUGGUGUAUAAUCUAUGUAAUACUUAGUAUGGUUUAGCCCAAGUGCAAAAUUUUUAAAAUGAUUAGCUUUAUUUCCAGGCUGGUGGUUUAUUCAUGUUGUCUUUUCCCAUCUCACAUAGGUUUCUGGACGACCUCUGCCUUUUAUUCUUGAAAUUGGGACGGAGGAGUUGCCGCCAAAUGAUGUUGUUAAUGCUUGCAAUCAACUAAAAGAUUUAGUCAAGCAGUUACUGGAUAAACAAAGAUUGAGUCAUGGAGAUGUGGAAACAUUUGGAACUCCACGUAGGCUUGUGGUCCAUGUCAAUGACCUGAUUGCCAAGCAGGUGGCCAAUGAAGUUGAGGUUUGAGUUGUGUGAUUAAAUACGUCAGAAACUCAGAAAUGUAAAUGACCUCUGGCAUGUAUGCCUAUGGCUAUUCUUAUAAGUUACUUACCCUGCACUAUAAGGCUUACCUCGUAGUGUGUUACUGUUUUAGUAGAAGAGAGGAGAGAGAGAGAGAGAGAGAGAGAGAGAGAGAGAGAGAGAGUAAAUGUGGUCCACGCUGCUCUUUUUUAUUGUUUAUUUAAAAAUUACUCUUAUUCACCGGUGCUUGGGUUAAACCCUCCUAUCGAACCGGAGUUUCUACAUUUUCUUAUCCAAUUCCACUCCUCACUCCCGCCACAAUCUUCGCCGCUCUUAAGUUUAAUCCUCAAAAAAUCACCUCUCCUUUAUCGUAGCCGCCGGUCGGAGGAAUAUUUUUCCCAAUUCUUUAUAUUUGUCCAUUCGCUAAUUUUUAAUUGCUAUAGGUAUUGAUGUUGACGACCACAACAUUCGCUUUGUAUUGAUUCGUGUUGUGGUUACUGCUUAGUUGUAGCUUACGAUUCAGUUUUUUAUUUUCAUGAUUACAAGGUUACAUAGUUAAACAAAUGUGUCUUAUCUUCCAAUUUGCUUGUAGGUAUUAUGUGCCUGGGGAUUGGGUUGGGAAGUUUGGAUGGAUGGAAUGGAGAUUACUCAAUUCGCCUACUUCCAUCAGGCUGGAAGUCUUCCAUUGAUGCCUGUUUCAGUUGAAAUUACCUAUGGUCUUGAGCGAAUCUUUAUGUUGCUUCAGGAAGGAGAUGAGUGCAUAUAGUCUGGAGCAUCCAGUGCAGAUCAAAAUAAUAGUCAUUUCGAUCAAUUUGAGGCUGAAGCUCAUCGCUUGCUUGACUCGGGCCUUGCAAUUCCUGCAUAUUUUUCUGUACUGUUCUACCACUUUCUUGCAUUAUAGUCAAUUAAGGAAUUUUCUGGUUUUUUAUGUUGCAGUUCACAUCCUUCUCUAUAUUUUUCUUUAAGGUUAGGUAUGAUCUGCUUUUAAAGACAUCUCAUUGCUUUCAAUGUCUAGGACUCUAGAGGAUUUGUUGGGGUGACAGAAUGUGCUAGUUAUUUUGGGCGUAUGCAUAGUCUUGGCAGAGCAAUCUAUAUUGGAAAAGCGAUGCGAUGCGAUGCCCGACUCUCCUACCAGAUCCUUAGUCGGCCGAGGACAUUGUUAUUUCAGAUGUUGAACUAGAUAUGUUUGAUGUAUACAUGCUAAUCUCAUCUAUGUUAUGUUUCACUGAAGCUCAACUUUAUGACUCCACAGCCUAUGUUAUGGUUCAUAUAUAACAACAAGCUUCAUUCUCGGCUCGGGAGCGACCAAAAAUCCAACAUGCGUAUUGCAUGAGGAUAAGGAUA